GGAGAGGUGGCCGAGUGGUUGAAGGCGGCGGCCUCGAAAGCCGUUGUAUCGCUUGCGGUACCGGGGGUUCGAAUCCCCCCCUCUCCGCCA
rnacentral:tRNA from 1 species